rnacentral:tRNA from 1 species
UCCCUGGUGGUCCAGUGGUUAAGACUCUGCGCUUCCACUGCGGGGGCCCCAGGUUCCAUUCCUGGUCGGGAAA